rnacentral:tRNA from 1 species
GCCGCCGUAGCUCAGUUGGUAGAGCGGCUGAUUUGUAAUCAGCAGGUCGGGAGUUCAAUCCUCUCCGGCGGCU